GAUGAACGCUGGCGGCGUGCCUAAUACAUGCAAGUCGAGCGAACGGACGAGAAGCUUGCUUCUCUGAUGUUAGCGGCGGACGGGUGAGUAACACGUGGAUAACCUACCUAUAAGACUGGGAUCACUUCGGGAAACCGGAGCUAAUACCGGAUAAUAUUUUGAACCGCAUGGUUCAAAAGUGAAAGACGGUCUUGCUGUCACUUAUAGAUGGAUCCGCGCUGCAUUAGCUAGUUGGUAAGGUAACGGCUUACCAAGGCAACGAUGCAUAGACGACCUGAGAGGGGGGUCGCCCGCAUUGGAACUGAGACAGGGUCCAUGCGCCUACGGGAGGCAGCAGUAGGGAAUCUUCCGCAAUGGGCGGGAGCCUGACGGAGCGACGCCGCGCGAGUUGUGAAGGUCUUCGGUUCGUGAUACUCUGUUAUGGGGGAAGAACAUAUGUGUAAGUAACUGUGCACAUCUUGACGGUACCUGAUCAGAAAGCCACGGCUAACUACGUG
rnacentral:rRNA from 1 species